rnacentral:rRNA from 1 species
GACGAACGCUGGCGGCGUGCUUAACACAUGCAAGUCGAACGGUGAAGCGCCUUCCUUUUUGGUGGGUGUGGAUGAGUGGCGAACGGGUGAGUAACACGUGAGUAACCUGCCCCCUUCUUCUGGAUAACCGCAUGAAAGUGUUGCUAAUACGGGAUAUUCUGGGUCUGUCGCAUGAUGGGUCUGGGAAGGAUAUUGUUUCGGUGGGGGAUGGGCUCGCGGCCUAUCAGCUUGUUGGUGGGGUGAUGGCCUACCAAGGCGGUGACGGGUAGCCGGCCUGAGAGGGUGGGCGGUCACACUGGGACUGAGACACGGACCAGACUCCUACGGGAGGCAGCAGGGGGGAAUAUUGCACAAUGGGCGGAAGCCUGAUGCAGCGACGCGGCGGGAGGGAUGGAGGCCGUCGGGUUGUGAACCUCUUUCGCCAGUGAAGCAGGCCUGCCUCGUUUGUGGGUGGGUUGACGGUAGCUGGAUAAGAAGCGCCGGCUAACUACGUG